AGGACGAACGCUGGCGGCGUGCCUAAUACAUGCAAGUCGAGCGGACAGAUGGGAGCUUGCUCCCUGAUGUUAGCGGCGGACGGGUGAGUAACACGUGGGUAACCUGCCUGUAAGACUGGGAUAACUCCGGGAAACCGGGGCUAAUACCGGAUGCUUGUUUGAACCGCAUGGUUCAAACAUAAAAGGUGGCUUCGGCUACCACUUACAGAUGGACCCGCGGCGCAUUAGCUAGUUGGUGAGGUAAUGGCUCACCAAGGCGACGAUGCGUAGCCGACCUGAGAGGGUGAUCGGCCACACUGGGACUGAGACACGGCCCAGACUCCUACGGGAGGCAGCAGUAGGGAAUCUUCCGCAAUGGACGAAAGUCUGACGGAGCAACGCCGCGUGAGUGAUGAAGGUUUUCGGAUCGUAAAGCUCUGUUGUUAGGGAAGAACAAGUACCGUUCGAAUAGGGCGGUACCUUGACGGUACCUAACCAGAAAGCCACGGCUAACUACGUGCCAGCAGCCGCGGUAAUACGUAGGUGGCAAGCGUUGUCCGGAAUUAUUGGGCGUAAAGGGCUCGCAGGCGGUUUCUUAAGUCUGAUGUGAAAGCCCCCGGCUCAACCGGGGAGGGUCAUUGGAAACUGGGGAACUUGAGUGCAGAAGAGGAGAGUGGAAUUCCACGUGUAGCGGUGAAAUGCGUAGAGAUGUGGAGGAACACCAGUGGCGAAGGCGACUCUCUGGUCUGUAACUGACGCUGAGGAGCGAAAGCGUGGGGAGCGAACAGGAUUAGAUACCCUGGUAGUCCACGCCGUAAACGAUGAGUGCUAAGUGUUAGGGGGUUUCCGCCCCUUAGUGCUGCAGCUAACGCAUUAAGCACUCCGCCUGGGGAGUACGGUCGCAAGACUGAAACUCAAAGGAAUUGACGGGGGCCCGCACAAGCGGUGGAGCAUGUGGUUUAAUUCGAAGCAACGCGAAGAACCUUACCAGGUCUUGACAUCCUCUGACAAUCCUAGAGAUAGGACGUCCCCUUCGGGGGCAGAGUGACAGGUGGUGCAUGGUUGUCGUCAGCUCGUGUCGUGAGAUGUUGGGUUAAGUCCCGCAACGAGCGCAACCCUUGAUCUUAGUUGCCAGCAUUCAGUUGGGCACUCUAAGGUGACUGCCGGUGACAAACCGGAGGAAGGUGGGGAUGACGUCAAAUCAUCAUGCCCCUUAUGACCUGGGCUACACACGUGCUACAAUGGACAGAACAAAGGGCAGCGAAACCGCGAGGUUAAGCCAAUCCCACAAAUCUGUUCUCAGUUCGGAUCGCAGUCUGCAACUCGACUGCGUGAAGCUGGAAUCGCUAGUAAUCGCGGAUCAGCAUGCGCGGGGGGAAAUACCUUUCCCGGGGCCUUGUACACACCGGCCCGUCACACCACGGAGAGUUUGUAACACCCGAAGUCGGUGAGGUAACCUUUUAGGAGCCAGCCGCCGAAGGUGGGACAGAUGAUUGGGGUG
rnacentral:rRNA from 1 species